rnacentral:tRNA from 1 species
GCGGGUGUCGUAUAAUGGUAAUACCUCAGCUUUCCAAGCUGAAGCCAGGGGUCCGAUUCCCCUCACCCGCUCCA